UACGUAGGGUGCGAGCGUUGUCCGGAAUUAUUGGGCGUAAAGAGCUCGUAGGCGGUCUGUCGCGUCGGUCGUGAAAACUUGGGGCUUAACCCUGAGCUUGCGGUCGAUACGGGCAUGACUGGAGUUCGGCAGGGGAGACUGGAAUUCCUGGUGUAGCGGUGAAAUGCGCAGAUAUCAGGAGGAACACCGGUGGCGAAGGCGGCUCUCUGGACAGAUACUGACACUGAGGCGCGAAAGCGUGGGAAGCAAACAGG
rnacentral:rRNA from 1 species